GAUGAACGCUAGCGGCAGGCCUAACACAUGCAAGUCGAGGGAGAAGCCCUUCGGGGCAGAAACCGGCGCACGGGUGCGUAACGCGUAUGCAACCUACCUUUCACAGGGGGAUAGCCCGAAGAAAUUUGGAUUAAUACCACAUAAUAUUAUUGGAUGGCAUCAUUUGAUAAUUAAAACUGAGGUGGUGAAAGAUGGGCAUGCGUCCUAUUAGCUAGUUGGAGUGGUAACGGCACCCCAAGGCUACGAUAGGUAGGGGUCCUGAGAGGGAGAUCCCCCACACUGGUACUGAGACAGGGACCAGACUCCUACGGGAGGCAGCAGUGAGGAAUAUUGGUCAAUGGUCGGAAGACUGAACCAGCCAUGCCGCGUGCAGGAAGAAUGCCUUAUGGGUUGUAAACUGCUUUUAUAUGGGAAGAAUAAGGAGUACGUGUACUUCGANGACGGUNCCA
rnacentral:rRNA from 1 species